GGGCCACACCCGAGGCAUAUGGAAGUUCCCAGACUAGGGGUCAAAUCAGAGCUACAGCUGCUGGCCUACAUCACAGCCACAAAACAUCAGAUCCAAGCUGCGUCUGAGACCUAUACCACAGCUUGCGGUCACGCUGGAUCCUUAACCCACUGAGCGAGGCCAGGGAAUGAACCCAAAUCCUCAUGGAAACUAGUCGGGUUCUUAACCCACUGAGCCACAAUGGGAACUCCCCUCAAAAGCCUUCUUAAGUGUAUCUUAUUUAUCUGUCGCCUUCCAGUGCCCAGCAGACUGGUGUAUAGUAGGCGUUUAGGAAAGCUUAUUAACUGACUGAACAGGUGGGCAGAGUCACAGGGAUUUCUUAUCCUCCCUCAAGCUGCCCACCCCAUCCCUAUCAUCAGCCCUGUCUUUGUGGACCAGGAGGAAAGCAGGCAGAAGGACCACUGUCUGGGACUGCUGACACCACUGCUGUGUUAGCAUAGAAAUGGGAACGCUACUAUCCUGGAGGACCACCGCCAACCAGGAGAGGGCACGAAUCACCCUGUAUGUCAGAAUGGGUUUUGUCCAGAAAAGGACAUCAUUCUUGGUGCCCAGUGCCCGGAGGAAGAGAAGCAUCUAGGACCAGAGUUGGCUUCUGUGAGCCUUGGGGGCCACCUUCAGGAAUGGGAGGCUAAGCUUCAACACCCUCUAGGGUGUUGAAAUCUCAUGAGGUGGCAUCACCUAUUUGCAAUUGAUCCAGAAGUCGGGGGGCGGAGUGUCAGGCAGGUGUCUGGGAUGGGCGGCUGCCCCCAGUGGCGAGUAGAUGGGCUUCGGAGAGCGGCGGAGAAACUGAGUCUGAGUGUUGCCCUCUUGGUUCAUUCUCUGCCUUUCCUGAGGAUUAAGUCAACUUCCUUCCACACUCCGGCCCUUCCCAGAAGCUGCAUAGGGUUUGUCUGAGACCAGGCUUGGACCAGUGGGCAAGAGAAGCACAGUUGCUGGGAGAGAGCUCAAGGAGUUGGUAACUCUGGAGCCCAGUGAAUGGAGAUGGGCACAGCCAGCAGCCCCUCACACCCGGGAAACUUCCCUCCAACGCUCUGACUCCCUGGGUUUAUGCUCCUCAAGAUGCUAUUCCUCUGCUUCCCAGAACUCAGUUCUUCGGAGAAGCUGGGCGACCCUGGUGCUUCAGCCGGCACAGGAUGAGAGGAGAAGUGGCCUUUGCUCAGUGUUUCUGCCCCGUAUCAAGUAUUUUACACACCUAUCUAACUGAAUCCACCCAGGAGCCCUGUAAUGUAGAUAUAAUUUUUUUCCUCUUACGGUGGACGAAACGGAGGCUCACAGGAUAAUUGCGUCUCACAGGAUAAUUGCGUCUCGCGGAACUGGGAAUUCGAUCCAGGCUUCUAUAUUCCCAACCCUGGCUCCUGCUGAUUCCUCUAUUUGAGGGAUCUACAAAAAAUGCAUUUUAUAGCUCUCCCCCCAGCCCACUCCCCAGGCGCUUUUCACUAAGUGCUGAUGACAUGUUUGGAUCUUUCCCUGCUCUUACCUUGGUGGCUGCAGGACCUCAGAGUCUGCUCCUAGGUAUUCUGCCUACACUCUUGGGAGCACCCCAGGCUCAAGGCCAUCUGGUGGAACCCCUUCUUUUUUUUAAAUUUUUUUUAAUUUUUAAGGCCAUACCCACAACAUAUGAAGGUUUCCAGGCUAGGAGUCUAAUCGGAGCUGUAGCCGCCGGCCUAUGCUACAGCCACAGCAACGCGGGAUCUGAGCCACAUCCGCGACCUAUACCACAGCUCAUGGCAACGCGGGAUCCUUAACCCACUGAGCGAGGUCAGGGAUUGAACCUGCCACCUCAUGGUUCCUAGUUGGAUUCGUUUCCACUGCGCCACAACAGGAACUCCCCCUUCACUCUUAAUAGGGAGACACACAGACCACCGAGGGUGACUGGUCCAAGGCCACAUGUGGCAAAUGAGAUGGGGGUGGGGUGUGGGGGGGAACCAGGCCCAGGCUCUCUCCCAUCCAAGUCGUCUUCCUUAGCUCUUGGAUCCUUUGGCCAGAAGGAAUCCGGGGUUCUCUUCUAUUGUCAUCCCUGGGAGAGUGGAAUCCUGUGUGUGGCUACAGACAGGGAGCCCCAAUCCUGGUACCAUAAUCUUCUUUACCAGAUUAGACAGCUAAGGUCCACAUCAGGGCUGUUAGGUCUGACACUGGAGCCACCAAGGCCUAGCAGCAAGUCAUUCCUUACCCUGGGAGCGACGCCGCUCCAGCCCCCUGAUAGGCAAGGCGGGGCUGAUGUGGGCACAGCAGCAGGGCACAGUCAUGCGGAGGUGACCGAAACUGGAUUAGGCGUUCUGCUCCAAGACACAGACUCACACUGCCUCCUCUCUGCCUGCCUUUUGCUCUCAUUUUAAAGCUGGCGUCCCGAUUGCCAAGUCAGCAAUCCAAUGAACUGAGAUACUUUGAAGAACGCCCUCAAACUGAAAAACUGACAUCCCGAUUCAGGAGGCCUGCCCUGCCUCAUUAAUCUGCUGGUCAGUUUGCCAUGGAUCAGGUGGAAGCUGGCUUCCCCACCGUCUCCAGGACGACUCUAGGAGGUUGAUUUAAGAAGAACCAAGCCCUCAAUCCUAG
ensembl:lncRNA